rfam:marine gamma proteobacterium HTCC2148 scf_1106774214176 genomic scaffold, whole genome shotgun sequence.
CCGCUUCCUAAGGGGUGGCCACUGCGCCUGAGAUGUUGCUUACAGCAGACCCUUUGAACCUGAUCCGGAUAACACCGGCGUAGGAAUAGGUAUCUGCCUUUGG